CUUGUAUUAUACAGUAGAUAUUGAGAAAAGAAGACAACCACCUUACUUAUUUUGUUUUCAAUUUUGGUAUAAUUGUUCAGAUUUAUAUGGUGCGCAUGUAAUUAAAGAGCCAGUCUAGAGGAGUUUGCCAGUUUUUUCCUAUUGAUAAUAAUUUGGUGAUAACAAAGGUCUAUCGAAGAAAGAUUUUGGUGUUUCCAUCAUUUUGAUUAUAGUGGGAGUUUAAUUGAGCAAGAUAAUCAUUUUUGAAGUUUUAACAUACAGCUAUUUGACAGACAUAAAAGCUGAAUUCCCUUUGCAAACAAAACUGCUACUAAAGAUAGUGCUACCAGAUUGCUGAUGGAGAAGGAAUCAGAAGAUUAUGUCUAUCAUUGUAUUGAUGAUAGCGUGCUACCUUUGAAACACUGAAUGCUCUAAAACGA